rnacentral:rRNA from 1 species
AGCUCCAAUAGCGUAUAUUAAAGUUGCUGCAGUUAAAAAGCUCGUAGUUGGAUUUCUGGCUUGAAACAUUUUGCCGGCCACGGUUUCGUGUGUUAGUGCUUGGUGUUCUGGCCAUCCUUCCAAUCGCUGUUGUCUUUCUUCAUUGAUGGGCAAGUGGUAUUGGAUCUUUUACUUUGAAAAAAUUAGAGUGUUUCAAGCAGGCUCUUGCUUUGAAUACAUUAGCAUGGAAUAAUAAUUUAGGGCUUCGGUUCUAUUUUGUUGGUUUCUAGGACUGAAGUAAUGAUUGAUAGGGAUAGUUGGGGGUGCUAGUAUUCAGCGGCCAGAGGUGAAAUUCUCGGAUUCGCUGAAGACUAACUUAUGCGAAAGCAUUCACCAAGGAUGUCUUCU